GACGAACGCUGGCGGCGUGCUUAACACAUGCAAGUCGAACGGAAAGGCCCUGCUUUUGUGGGGUGCUCGAGUGGCGAACGGGUGAGUAACACGUGAGUAACCUGCCCUUGACUUGGGAUAACUUCAGGAAACUGGGGCUAAUACCGGAUAGGAGCUCCUGCUGCAUGGUGGGGGUUGGAAAGUUUCGGCGGUUGGGGAUGGACUCGCGGCUUAUCAGCUUGUUGGUGGGGUAGUGGCUUACCAAGGCUUUGACGGGUAGCCGGCCUGAGAGGGUGACCGGCCACAUUGGGACUGAGAUACGGCCCAGACUCCUACGGGAGGCAGCAGUGGGGAAUAUUGCACAAUGGGCGGAAGCCUGAUGCAGCAACGCCGCGUGCGGGAUGACGGCCUUCGGGUUGUAAACCGCUUUCGCCUGUGACGAAGCGUGAGUGACGGUAAUGGGUAAAGAAGCACCGGCUAACUACGU
rnacentral:rRNA from 1 species